UACGGGGGGGGCAAGCGUUGUUCGGAAUUACUGGGCGUAAAGAGCGCGCAGGCGGUCGUUCAAGUCGCGUGUGAAAGCCCCCGGCUCAACUGGGGAGGGUCACGCGAUACUGAUCGACUCGAAGGCAGGAGAGGGAAGUGGAAUUCCCGGUGUAGUGGUGAAAUGCGUAGAUAUCGGGAGGAACACCAGUGGCGAAGGCGACUUCCCGGCCUGUUCUUGACGCUGAGGCGCGAAAGCUAGGGGAGCAAACGGG
rnacentral:rRNA from 1 species